AGGGAUGUAGCUCAGUGGCAGAGCAUUUGCUUAACAUGCAUCAGGCUCUGGGUUAAAUCUCCAGCACUUUA
rnacentral:tRNA from 1 species